ensembl:lncRNA
GGCUCGCGCGUCCUCUGCUCUCCCCCUCCCGCACCGCGGCCCGCGCCGGAGAACCCGCGCCGCGCCCUGUCCUGCUGUCUCCCGCGGCAGGAGACGGGGUGGGACUGUCAACCGUGGAGGGGGUUGGCCGGCACCCCACCACCUGCUGUCCUGCUCGCGCCCGUCUACCUAGGAGUCUUUACCUAGGUGCUGCAGGAAAUCGUGUGUGGCUCUCUCUGACCCGCCUCAGAGAUGCAGUAUGGUGUAAACUGGGGUUGAGAGCACGGGCUUCUCACCCGUUGCUCAGGUCACGUCCUGCUGCUACGCUCGUAGCUGAUAACCGGGGACAGCUUGCCCGCUCUGAUGCUCAACGUUUUAAUCUGCAAAAUGAAGAUAGUAUCUAUCUCAACGUGCUUGUGAAAAAUAAAAGUAUUGAUACUGAUGAAGCGUUAUAAAACAAAGCCUCGCAUUUAACAGUAACUUUUAAAUAGUGGUUAUUUAAUCCACUGGGAUAAGAGAAGAGAGAAGCCUGGAGUUGAGGGUGGGGUUUGAGGGAAAGGGGUAUUUUCUGUCGUGAUCUUGCUGAGGGUUUGGUUUACAGAGGUAUGUGCUUUUGUCAAAACUCGUGAAAUGGUACACUUAAGAUUUGUACACUUCACCAUGUAAAUUCACCUCAAAAAGAACAAAAAUAUUAGUUAUUAUUAGAGCUAGAGACGCUAAUACAGACCAUGGAGAUGUUCUAGGUCCGGUACCCAGAUUUUGCAGAUGAUGAAAAUGAGGCCUAGAGAUUUAAGUAAAUCGGGGGUGGGAGGGGUCUGACCCUGUCGUUCUCUAGUAAUAAAUAUCUCUUGAGAAAUUAUGAUUGAAAAUAGCAAGCUACUGUGUAUGUCAUCCAGUUCUCAGUUGGGGUCACCUUGUCCACAGAGAUUUUUGUUGAAAUUGACUCAAGUCCCCUUUGCACCUCCUGUGGAAAGGCCAGUGUCCUCUCCAAGACUGCACAUUCCGUGAGGGCUUACCAUCUCAGGGUCACUUUUGGCUCUGAGCUCUUGCUUUCUCUGAACACUUAGAUUUCCUCACAUCUCACCUCCUGCAACUCUUUUUCUCUCUACUCCUACUGACAACUAAUGUGGAAAUCAAGCCCUUUUCGCUGGUUGUUUGUAAAGCAGACUCUUCUGAAGGUUUGGAGCAGCUGAGGGAUUUUAAAUGAAGGAUGCAAAUAAACUAAAAUUAGAAUUUCCUGCUCUUAAAAAUCCUUCAGUAUCCCCACAGUAUUGGGAUUCUCUGACCCCCAUCCUCUUUCAGCAUAGACUGCAACUUCCCUCUAUCCACCAUCUCUCUGAUCCCCUCCCUCUCCUCCUCUUUUCUCUCUUUGAAUAGUACUUUGAGUUAUCUCUGUCUCCUAAUCAAUACCUUCAGGGCUCCCUUCCCUUCCUAAGCUGUUUCUCUAAGUAUUUUCCUACACAAAGAAAGUAAGUUCCCCAGGAGGAACUGUAGUGCCAGUUAUUAAAAUAAUAGUUCUUCGCCCCAGUAUAUAUCUGCAUAUUCUGUUUGAUUCAGCCUACAGUGUAGUUAUUCAAUAAAUAUUAUACAGCUUACACACAUGACCUGUCCAGGCUACCUACAUAGUGGGUUCAAUUACGAAAACUAUUUAGUGUAAAUGAGGAAGCAGUUGAUAGUAGCUGGAAUCUGAUGUCUGAGAAAGAAAAGAAACCAAAGUCUCCAUGAUCAUAGUUUAUAUUGCACGGAAGAAAUGACAACAUUCAAGCAAUAAAAUCCAGAACGAAAUCUGAGUAUUAAGCAAUAAUGACAUCCUUAUAGAAGCAACACCUAGAUCUGUCACCUCUAGCAAUUUGGUCACAACUCUGCAUGUAUAAUGAGCAUAUAAAUAGAUUCUCCUUUACUCCUGGAGAAGAUGACACUGAUACGCUAUCAGCUGAACACAUGUUUUUGUAGUAGGGAAUGAGCGUUUCACCUGAUCCAUCUAUCCCUCAUCUGGUUUCCUUGUUACCAGUCGCUUGCAUUUGCCCAGCAGCUGGGUUGUAGUGCAGCCUCCAGCCAUGAGGAAGUCUCCAAAAGCAAGACCCAAUGCAUAACCCUCCUUGUUUUUUGAAGUCAGGAUCCCAUAGCAUCCGCUGAGCAGGACAAGCUACUUGAGGAGAAUGGAUGACAGCAGUGAAAGGAAACAGCUGCUCUGCAGUAAGCUGAAGGAGGGCAGUCACGCGAAGGAAGACUGAGCCACUGAAGCACAGCCUUGAAAAGCUAGCAUGGCUGUGGACAGCUGGGACACCAUGAGGACCGACAAUAAACUUUAGUUUAUUGUUUUCACUACAUACUUUGGACCAGUUCAAGCGAUAGUUAAACACACUGUGUAAAUUCAAAAGAUGGAGCUGAAAGUAAUAACAGAUUGAUCUACACCAAUGCACAAUAUGGUUAAGAGCCACUGUCCUGUUAAAGAGACCUAGUGCGUCUGGUUCAAAUCCAGAAGUUUUUCCUCGGUUCUCAGUCUUCUUGGCCUCUGUAGCAUUGGACUUUGCAGGCCACCCUCCCUAGUGGUCCGUGCCCUUGGUUCUCUUCAAAGCACACGUCAUUGUGUUAUUCACCAGCUCCUCUACCUACUCCUUAAAUGUGGGAGUAGUUCCCAACAUUCAGUCGACACACCCUCUCCAUUUCGAAGCUUUCGUCUCUCAGUGAUGGCGAUGCUCAGAUUCCCCAGGCUAGUUCUGAUCCCCAGGUUCCAGUACUUCCCCAAGCAUGCUGUGUGCUCCCUUCCCUUGCUCUAUCGCUCCUAAUGUGCUCUUCACCUAGAAUGCUAUCCCCCUGCUGUAAAUUCUACCUAUUCUACAAACACUAACUCAGGCCUUUACGUGAAGCCUUUCUAGGUCAUUCCUGCUCGCAGUAUAUCACCCUGCUCUGUGCUCACAAUAUUUCCUGCAUAUAUCACCUACUUGACAACUAACCAUACUGCCUAGUGGCCACUUGUGUAUUGUUUACUCAUUGGCUUUUGUUUUUUCUUCUCAUUAGAUUUCAGACUCCUAUGAUGUACAUUUCUGGAUACUCCC